rnacentral:rRNA from 1 species
UACGGAGGGUGCAAGCGUUAUCCGGAUUCACUGGGUUUAAAGGGUGCGUAGGUGGGCAGUUAAGUCAGUGGUGAAAUCUCCGGGCUCAACCCGGAGACUGCCAUUGAUAGCUAUCUGUCUUGAAUAUCGUGGAGGUAAGCGGAAUAUGUCAUGUAGCGGUGAAAUGCUUAGAUAUGACAUAGAACACCAAUUGCGAAGGCAGCUUACUACCCGAAUAUUGACACUGAGGCACGAAGCGUGGGGAUCAAACAGG